rnacentral:rRNA from 1 species
GAUGAACGCUGGCGGCGUGCCUAAUACAUGCAAGUCGAGCGAACGGACGCGAAGCUUGCUUCUCUGAUGUUAGCGGCGGACGGGUGUGUAACACGUGUAUCACCUACCUAUCAUACUGGGAUAACUUCGGGAAACCGUAGCUAAUCCCGGAUAAUCUUUUGAACCGCGUUGUUCAAAAGUAAAAGACGGUCUUGCUGUCACUUCUCGCUGGAUCCGCGCUGCAUUAGCUAGUUGGUAAGGUAACGGCUUACCAAGGCAACGAUGCAUAGCCGACCUGAGAGGGUGAUCGGCGACACUGGAACUGGGACAGGGUCCAGACUCCUGAGGGAGGCAGCAGUAGGGAAUCUUACGCAGUGGGCGAAAGCCUGACGGAGCAACGCCGCGUGAGUGAUGAAGGUCUUCGGAUCGUAAAACUCUGUUAUUAGGGAAGAACAUAUGUGUAAGGAACUGUGCACAUCGUGACGGUACCUAAUCAGAAAGCCACGGCUAACUACGUG